CGGCCUUAAAUUUUCACUGAAUGUGUCAUUCAUUACCCAAUUAUUUUUCAUUUCAGAAAACACCGGUAGAAUUCCAUCUACCAGGAGGAAUUCAGAAGUUCAAUGAUGUCUACAUGGAAGCUACCUUCCGGAAGGAUAUGAAGACCGUCGUGUACGACUGGUGGUGGAGUAAGACGAUGGACUUCCCGCUGUUCGAAGUGACGAGCGAACAGUACAGGGAGAAAAUGCUCCAGUACUACAUCGAGGACUACAACACCAAGUCCAAGGACGUAGGAACAGGGACUUCUACUACGUCACUGGAGAGGAGACGCGCACCAGGUUCUUUUACGACGUCAAGGACCGUUACCUCGUGAUACGAAUCAACGGCAGGUAUUCCCUGUUUGAGCUUCUCGACAGGUUCGCCGAUGCGUCACCCUACGACCGUUUCUACAUAAAAGGUGACCUUGACAUAAAGGUCAUCAGAAUUCCUUACGAGGACCCUUUGCCGGUGCCUCUUUCCCUGCCCCUCACCUCGGCGGGCAUACUGAAAGGCGACCGCUACGAAAUAAAAGGAAAGAAUCCGAGGAACGCCCAACAGUUGAGUGCCAAGACAACGAAAUCACCGAGGAUGUCUGAAGAAUCUGCUCAAAGUUUUCUGUUUUGUUUUUGUUUGUUUUUUUGUUUGCGACGUAAUGCUUAGUCUUUUUUUUUUUUCGUUGCUUGGGCGGUUUCAGUGAGGCUCUCAGCGGACGAGACGUGCUCGAAAGCUACAGCAAGUAGACACUGCGAACAAGUAGGAAAG